UACGUAGGGUGCAAGCGUUGUCCGGAAUUAUUGGGCGUAAAGAGCUCGUAGGCGGUUCGUCGCGUCGGCUGUGAAAUCCCGAGGCUCAACCUCGGGUCUGCAGUCGAUACGGGCGGACUGGAGUUCGGCAGGGGAGACUGGAAUUCCUGGUGUAGCGGUGAAAUGCGCAGAUAUCAGGAGGAACACCCGUGGCGAAGGCGGCUCUCUGGGACGGUACUGACGCUGAGACGCGAAAGCGUGGGGAGCGAACGGG
rnacentral:rRNA from 1 species